UAAUUUACCUCAUCUAUUCAAAAUUGCAACUAAGUCCUUGACUUUUACAAGUGGUCAAUUUAGUACAUUUUGUUCACAGAAUUACCAAUUACAAUAUUGGACCUAACAAUCUCCCCCUUUGACAUUCUGUAACAAAACUAUACAAAUUUAAGUCAAGGGAUUACAAUUAAUAAAAAAUCUAAACUAUCUAGUAUUCCAAAUCUAAUUGCAUUCCUUGUUGAAUCUGUUUCCUGAAAUUCAAAAACGUACAUACCCAGUGUAAAAGCAUGUGAUACAGGGAAUAAAAAUUAAGGCACAUAAACACAAACACAUCAACAUGCUGUUUUGAGACGUGAUAUUGAUGUCAAUCAAAACACCAACUGAAACACCAAUAUCACUAAACAUCAAAACUCAAAUAGCAAUGGACAUGAUAUGGAAUGCAAUGUAAUACUCCCUUUUACUGCAAACCUCGUGAAUUUUAUGCAAUAACACAAUAUAUUUAUGUCUCUCCCCAACGACCCCUAUAAGACAUAGCAAUGCAAAAUGUAAGUAAUGUCAAUCGGUGAAAUCAUGUUUUUCUCUCCUCAGUUAUAACAUUUCUUUCCCCCAUUUUGUCACAAAUGUUGAAGGGAAUUAUAUAAAGAACAGUAUGAGAAAUAACACAUAAUAACUCAAAAAUGCAGUUUCUAGCAUGUAAAAGUAACAUUAACCAAUAGCAGACCUCCCCACCUACUCAGUUUAGAUUGGAAUGGAGUAAAAAGUACAAGUGACUCAUGUGUGUAAAGUGUCAUUAUUCCAAUGCAAAUAGGAACAAACCUUAAUUUUGUGAAAAAGGACACGCCAAUCACUGCCAAUAAGUAUAUUUUUCUACUUAUGAAAGUCAAACCAUGAAAUUAUGGUAGGACAUAUACUGAUUAUUUUUAUUUUUCUCCCCCUUACUUUAAUAAGCAUUAAUAUUUUUCAAAGUUUCCAUAACUUUCAGCUCAUCGCAAUUUUCAUAUUUUUUGCAUUUUUCUCUUUUUUCGGGCUCAUUAAUUUUUUUUUUAUCUUAAUUGUAGGUUCUUCUCCAUUAGAUGACUAAGAUGACCCAUGUAGCGAACUUUAGACUGGUUAACCUAAGUCAGUUGACUAUAGGCACAGGUUUUAAGAGAUCCAUCGGGCUUAAUUAUUCGAGUCAAAUAGGCCACAAAGAAGAACAUUAAGAUGAGCUUAUUUUAAUGGGAGAAUAAUUUUCGGGUUUAGGUAUACUAAAUAUUGGUCAAUUCACUUUCAAAGUCACCCUAUUAACAUGUGAUAGUCAUCCCAAAUCUCACACACAUAUUAGAGUCUUACUAACAAAUUCAUAGUGUGUGCAAUGCAGAUAGUACAUGAAGACACUUAUACCAAUUAAUACAAACAUACAUAAAUAAGUAAUGAAAAUUAUUCUACAGUUUAUCAAUUUCAACUCAUGCAUGAUCACAACCAACAAAUUCAAGAAAUAUAUGCCAUGCUAUAGCGAUUUCCUUAACAAACUAUUUUGUCUUUUCCAAUUUUUCAAUAUUUUUUCAAACAUGAAUACAUAGAGGUGUCAACGAGCCGGCUUGCGAGAUGAAAAUCGAGGCUCGAGCUUUUUGAAGAUGGCCUUUUUUUAGCCCAAGCCGAGGCGAUCAAAAGCUCGGCCAAAAAAUCGAGGCUCGACCCAAGCUUUCGGCUCAGGCUGUACCAAGCCAAGCCGGGCCGAGCCGAGUCAGCUCGGGUUUUCUUUUUCUUUUUUUAAAGUUCAAUUGUUCUUCUUCUUCUUCAUUUUUUGUAUAAUUAUAUACAGGCAACUGCCUUGCUGCCUUUUAAAAGGUAGGUCACAAAAAGGUAGCUAUGAGCUGCAUUUUAAAAGGUAGCCAUGCAGUUGCCUUUAGAGGGCAGCUCAUAGUUACUAUGUUUAUGUUUAUUUUUUUUAAUAUACGAGCUAGCCUACGAGCUACACGGGCCGGCUUGGGCUUGGCCCAUCACCCCAAGAUGGGGCUCAGCCCGAGCUUGAACUGAGCCUCAAGUCGAGUCAGCUCGAGGUUUUUUUGGGCAGAGCAAUGGGUGGCCCGAGCCGAUAAGCCAAAUUGCCAUUCCUAUGAAUACAUCACACAAAUAUAAAAAUAUCAAGCAUGCAAGAAUAAAAACAAAAUAUACAUGUGCUGAUGGAUGGGAACGUACAUGCAUGAAACAAAAAAAUGCAAAUGAAAGUAAACACAUACACGUGAUGCAUGCAAUGAUCAUGUGACAAUUAAAAACAUGCAUGCAUUUAAAACUACCUAAUCAGUUACGUAUAUAAGUGCCCUUUCUCUUAAAAGCACCGUAAUCCACUUCCAAAUUCUACAAAUCACUCUUCUUCAUCCAAACCUGUCAGUGGGAUAACAGUUCCCAGACAGUUGUGUCACCAACUUGGUCAAACAAUUAAUUGUUCAGUAAGGAAGCAAAUUUGACCAAUAGACACCUAAUUUUUGUUUUCAUUUUAGUGCAUCUUCUUAUUUUUUUUCAAGUAUUGAUGACAUCUAAGGCGGAUGUUACCUAACUCUCCACAAUGAAAGCAUGGCGAGAUAAACCUAGGACCUAUGUUAUGUGAACACAGACGUCUAUUCGUAGGUUAACGGGUCCUAAACUGUUUGCAAGAGAGAGUAUCCUACAAAUCCCUCAACAUUAGGUUUGGGGUUAGGUACAUGUUUAGGCUGGUCAGAAAUAAGGACAAAUAUUGUCUUAGAUGUGCUAGCAGUAUCAUCAAGUUUACCUAUAUAUCCUAGACCUCCUUUAUUUCCAGCCAACUUUCUUAUUCCUAGAAGAUUACCUAGCUUUGACGAACCACUAGUGAACGCAGAAGUUGAGACUUUGAGUGUACUAAAUCGCUCACAAGGUUCACAACCUAGAUUUGCAAAGUCUCAUUCAUGGUGGUCAACUCGCUGAAUUUUCUAGAGGACCUCUCAAGCUCACUGGUGAGAUUUUUGACCUGAGACUCUAAAACUUCAUUCAUCGACUUAAGUUCACUCAGGACAGUGAAAGAUUCCUUAAUUUAUGCCUCUAACUUAGCUUUCUCUAAUUGCAGCUCCUGAAUAGUCGCACUUAAAGCCUUAUUUUUAUUGAGAAUUUUCAGGCUUUCCUGAUGCAUCUUCUCAUAGGCCUUAUCGAUAUAUUCCUCAAUCGUCGAUUCAUCACUAUAAUCCUCAUUACAAUCUAAGUCCUCCUCUCUUUCACUUUUUUGUUCGGAUCCACUCUCAACCUUAGUAAUGAAGGCAACGUAUUUUUCACUCUCCUCAUGUGUGGAUUUUUCACUCUGAUUGUAUGAGUUAGACUCGUCAUCAGUGAAAGUAGUAUUUAUAGUCUUCUCCUCAGCUCUUUUAGCACUCGGGCACUUUUUCUUCACUUGACCUAUACUUUAACAGUUAUGGCAUCUCACCGAACUAGAUUUUCUCCUAGAUUUACUAGGGCCACCUCUCAAUUUCUCUUAUAGUUUCUUCUUUCUAAACAUUUUUCGAAAUUUCUUAGUUAGGUAGGCCAUCUCUUCAUCGUUGGUUGAAUCUGAAUCAGAAGAUUCAAUCCGAUUAUUCCUAGCGAAUUUCAAGGCAAGGGGUUUUUCCUUAUCAGGAAUGUCGAAGGUAAGCUCAUAGGUCUAAAGGAAUCCAACUAGCUCCUCUGCCUUCAUAGUGUCAAUGUCCUUACUUUUUUCUAUAGCUGUGACUUAAGGCCUGAAAUGCUCGAGUAAGAAUCUAAGAAUUUUUCUAGCUAUCUUAGGCUCGGGGAUCUUCUGAGCUAGGUUGAAGGAAGAGUUCACUAUGUCGUUUAGACUCGCAUAGAAAACAUCUAUCAUCUCAUCAUCUCUCAUUCUGAUCUCUUCAAUCCUAGUAGCCAGUAGUUGUAAUUUCGAAUUUUUAAUCGCCUGUGUUCCCUCAUGGGUGGUUUGUAGAAUAUCCUAGACUUCUUUAGCAAUCUCACAUAUGGAUACUCUCCUAAAUUCGUCAGGGAAAAUAGCCAUAAACAGGCAUGUAAGGCUUUACUAUUCCAAUUGCAUCUAUCUAAUUCGGCCUUAGACCAAUUCUCUAUAGGGCCGGGAGUGACAACACCAUCUACUGUGGACUAAGGGUAGACAAACCGUUAACUACACUCAACCAGAUCUUCUCAUCCAUAAAUUUAAAAAAUGCCCUCAUCAUCACUUUCCAAUAUGCAUAGUUAUUCUAUCAAAAUAGGACAUCAUACUCAAUGGGGGUACUCAUCUAGACAAUGUAAGGUCAGGACACGUGUUUAGGAUCCGAUAUCACUUGAAAGAAUCUAGAACGAUUUAAUACCACUACAAGUUUUAGGAUUUAUCGAGUUUACACUCCAGAUUACAAAUUAUUCAACCUUGCGUAUGGAAUAAACUAACUAAAGCAACAAGUCACUUUAAUUAGAUGUCUAGGUGGUUAAACAAACAAUUCUAUAAUCCUACAUUCGAAUACCACAGUUAUAAUAUUGUAGAAAACAAUAAAUAACACAAGAUAUGAUAACAGAGAAAUGGCAACGUGGGUAAAACUCUAGAACCAAGUCAAUUACCUCCACUGUAGACAAUUCAGAGCAUACAAUGACAAACCUAUCCUUGUACCCGUUAAGACCCGUUGCCACAGCCUUACUAUCUACUGCCGUAGACAACUCUAGUGCUAGAAGUCUUGAUCUACCUCCUGCAGCCUCCUACUGCCGUAUAUUCCUCUUCCCUCCUGCUAGACCUCCAAGUCUACCCUCUGUAGCCCAAUCUACUGUCUCGUACAGCCUCCUGGUUUGUAUUAAAUAUCUCUCCAAAGUGGACCACCAAGAACCACCUGUUCUUGUGCUUGUAAAUGCCCUUCAAUACACCUUUUUCAAUCCCCCCCCCAAUGAGAGAGUCCCUUCCUCAAAAUAUUAAGGAAGACAGGUGUUUUGAAUUAUCGGACCUUUGAUGUUUUAUCCAAUAUGUGGUUGUUGGAUCUCAAGAAUAAAUAAAAUAAAUCAAUGCUUGGACAUGCUCUUGAAUUUUCAAAAAGAUGAUAAGAAUAUGUUUUCUAAGAGAGGUACAAUGAACAACCACCCAAAAAUUCGUGCUAGGGCUUGGGAUUUUAUAUUUGAAGGUGUUUUGGUGGUAUGGUCUGAGUAAAACACUUAAAAAUGCGAACUAAGGGUUUUGCCACAUAAGAAUGUCACUCGAGCAAGGAUCUAACGAAAAUCAAGCGAGAGCCAUUCUAUUUUUUCACUCGAGCAACAACUGAGCAGUUGUCAGUGUUUUUACCAUAACUCUCUCCAAGUGUCUGAUUGAGGUGAUUCAACUUGCAUUGGAAAACUAACUACAAUUCUUUUGCCUUGUCCAAAUUCCAACGUUUUCUAUGUGAAAAUGCAUUGCAAGUCACAACUGAGAAUUUCAAACAUAACUUGUGCGGUUCUUUGAUAUCCUUUAGACAUUUAGUUGCAUUUCGAUGGUCAUAUGUGAAUCCAUGGACAUCUUGGACUCUUUCAAUGACUUGAAAAUUAAGUUACCUCAUAUAUUCAAAAUUGCAACUAAGUCCUUGAAACAAGAGAUCAAUUUAGUCUCUUUUUUUUCAUAGAAUUUCCAAUUACAAUAUUGGACCUAACAUUUUAGACAAAUGGAUUAAUGUAAAAGAUGUGAAAAAGUCAAGAAAUCUUUUUUGAAGUUGGUAGAAUAGUCUUGAAGGAUGCCAAGAUGUCCAAGGAGAUCACAUACGAUCGAUAGAAUACAAUAAGAAGUCUUAAUAAUGUCAAAGAACUGCACAAGUUAUGUUUCAAAUUCUCAAUCGUAAAUUGUAAUGCAUUUUUCACAUAAAACAUGAAAUUUAGACAAGGCUACUGCUAGAAUAAUUUUAGCCCUUUGAGUUAGGUUUUCAACUCAUUUUGAAUCACCUCAAUCGAACAUCGGGAGAGAAAGUUACG
rnacentral:lncRNA from 1 species